UUGGAAAGUAGUUUCAGGCAGGAAAGAAAGGAACUCCAAUCCCAGAGAGUGACUGCAGAAGGUAUGCAGACCAGGAGGGUCAAGAAGGAAAUCCUGGAAUCCUUGCCUGAGUAGAGAAGGCUGGCAAGCAACUAGGACAAACACAGGGUAGCUACCAGAGUAGAGCAGACUAAGGUGGUGUGCCCUGAUAAAAGGGCAGGUUGGGGAUUUCCCAGGCUGUAAGUAUCUGCAUCUGCCGUGGUUUGUGAAGGGGAUAAGGACCAUUGAAAGCCUGGAAAAAAGAGAUGUGAGGACCACGGAGCCCAGAAAUAGAGCUAAAACCCGUUUUUGUAAGGACACUGGGGCUUCUUAUUUGUUGGACUUUGUUACCAUGAAAGUGAUGGACCUAAAUGUGACCUGUCCAGAGGGCUGAGCUGUGAGAAGCUGACGGUGUGCUGCAGGACCAGAGCAACCAUCACAGGGCAUAAUAGAGAAGAUUGAGUUGCUACACAGCACUCCGCCACAAGGAAAAACUACAAUGGGGAAGAUAAAAGCUGAUGUCAACAAUUGGAGAGCCUUGUCCUGAUCAUUGUGAUAAUACAAAAUGUGGAAAUGAAGAGAAAAUACAAACAUGAUGCUUAAUAAUAUUCCCCCCACUUACAAAAUUGACAAUGCGUGACAAAUGCCCAAAAUGUGGAACACUAGCCUUUUGCUGGGCAUCAUGACACAAACCCUUUUAUAUCUGUCACUUAUCUGUAAAACCAGUUUUCAAGGAUGUUUUCUCACACUGCAGAUUAAAGCAGUUUUUUAUAACAAAAUCUGGGGAGGAAAAAAAUUCCAUCAUAUGCAACUAUAAGGACUAUACAUACAAGUUGAAGCCUGAUGCUUCAGAUCCCCAUCAUAGGCUUCUAUCAUUGUUUAUCUUCUAUGUGGAGCAGCUAGAUACUGUAUGUAUGGUGGAGGUACAUCUAAGUGGAUAAAUAUAAUAAUUAGAUUUACUUGUCUCAGUUGCAUGCCUGGGAUCUUCAGAGAGAAGCACUUUGUAAACUUUUGAAGAUGAACUUCUCUGCCAUAAAUGUAGCAGCAACCUCCAUCAGCAGACACUCAAAUGAAUAGGUAUGUGUCAUACCUCAAUUACUUUCCUCCUAACUUCCCAGUACUGACAAAGGAGCUAAUUCAGAAUAUGAAGUGAUUGAAAAACUCAUCUCCUGUGCCAAAUAUCACUGCUUCUCCAGGAUAUUCACUUUCCCAGCGAUAGGAGAGAGUUGACAAAGUGUGACCAGUUCUAUGGCAGGCCUAGAAUACGUUCACAAAUAUAAAAUGGUGUCAUGCUUGAUUGCUAGUCACCUUUAAAAGGCACCCAAUUUAAAAGGCAUUGAAAUUUUCUUAAAGAUGUUGCAACUACUGAUAACUGAGACAUGUACUGCUUCCCUCCUAUCUUCUGAUUUUCUAUAUCUUUGUUCAGUCUCCUUCUUUAGAAUAUUUAAAUGUCAUUCCAUGUUUUGCCACCAAAUAAUGUGUGAAUUGACCUAAGAUUACAAAUGUUCUGCCUACAUUGCUGAAAUAAAUGUUGAUAAACUGGAUAUGGAGAAGAAGACCUAUGAAAGGAGUGAGUUUAAAAAUGCUACAAUUUUUAGGGCCAGAUUGUGUUUUACUCUAGGCACAGAUGCUCAAUCGAGGGGUGGAAGGGGCAAGAGAGCAAUGUCUCUCCUCUCCCUUGGUAGUGACUAGCAACAAUUUCUGCUCUUCUGAUCCCUAAGCCUCAUGAGAACUAGUGCUUGUAGUGUCAGUAUGGGGGCCAGUGAGAUGAGCUGAUGUGGAGAAGGGGAAGGUAGUGCUGCUGUUAGCAGUAUGUCAGAGCCCAGGAAAAUUUCUGAUAGUCUUUCUGAAUUCCUCCUGGAGCUGACUGCAGAAUAGCUGUUCCUCACCAUCAAUAUGUGGUUAAAAUCCUGACUUAGUCCUCAUGUGCUCAUGUUCAGUGAUUUUUAUUUUUAUUUGAGUGUUAUUCUUUCUUUUAAUCCUGAUUCCAUCAUCUUGGUUAGAAUUAAGGUUACAUGAGUGCCAGUUACAUGGUUAAUUCUAACCUCUGAGUAAUGACCAUAUGACAAAUGGGUAAAGCUACUGCAGAGGAGUUUUGUUUCUGAACAGUUGACAUAUGAUUCUUAUAUUUUAUAAGUUCCACUAGAGGCAAGAAUGUGUUUGUUUCUCACCCGUAUAAUAAAACUUCUUUGUGACGAUAUUUUUUUUUUAUCUACUGAAUAGGUUUUUUUUCUCUGACUUGGUGACUUUGUGUUGCCUAAUGAUGAGUAUGAUUUGCUUCUCCUCUUUGAAGUAAUCUUGAUCUACAUAUUUACAAUUACAUCAGAUUCUCUAACAUAAUACAAUUAACAAUGUCUUUGAAGCUAGCAUAUGGGACUGUUUGCACAGAAGUAGCAUGAUACUGCACAGCUCCUGUAUGUUUUACUGAAGUUUGGCUUGUGCUGAUUUAAUUUGAGUCAGUUACAUUAUU